AUUUAUUGGAGAGUUUGAUCCUGGCUCAGGACGAACGCUGGCGGCGUGCCUAAUACAUGCAAGUCGAGCGCAGGAAACAGGCAGAACCCUUCGGGGGGACGCCUGUGGAAUGAGCGGCGGACGGGUGAGUAACACGUGGGCAACCUGCCUUCCAGAUCGGAAUAACCCCGGGAAACCGGGGCUA
rnacentral:rRNA from 1 species